rnacentral:rRNA from 1 species
GUCCACGCUGUAAACGAUGAGGACUGGCUGUGCGGAGGGAAUAUCCUUCUGCGUAGCGAAGCUAACGCGUUAAGUUCUCCGCCUGGGGAGUACUGCCGCAAGGUUAAAACUCAAAGGAAUUGACGGGGGCCCGCACAAGCGGUGGAGCAUGUGGUUUAAUUCGAUGCAACGCGAAGAACCUUACCUACUCUUGACAUCCAUGGGAGCUGCCUGAGAGGGCGGCGUGCCGAAAGGAGCCAUGAGACAGGUGCUGCAUGGCUGUCGU